AUUACUGAAGUAUUUUCUCGUGCCUGGAAUUCCAUGGGAACGAAUUAAUUCCAUUUCAGUUUAAAUGGGGAAAAUUGACUCUGCAAACGAGCAAAUCCAGAUGCGAGCAAGGACAUUGAAUGGAUUAAACUCCAAAACGUGGUGUUCGUGGAAGCCCAGGUUACCUGGUAGUCCGUGUGCAUUGUCCACCUUCAGCACCAGCAUGUGUCAUUACUCUGCCAUAUGAACAGCAACUCUACAGUUACAACAUUAAAGAUAUUUAUGUUAACAUGCAAGAUGGCAUUUUUAAGGUGAAUGGAAACACACAGGAGUGGAUAGAGAACGUGGCAUUGGGACUGAGUGUGACUGUACUACACAUUUUGUGUCAGCCACGAUACAUUCCAUGUGAUGCCAUAGACACAGUUGAUGGUCCCAUUGACAAGCCCAUUGAUCCGCUGACACUGCCUCGUCGUAUACCUGUAGAGAACCUCAAGUUGAUAGGAGCCCUUGGGUUCUUCUGUGCUGCUGCUCCCACUAAUGCAUUCCACAAAAGAAUUGGGAUCAGAAAUGCAAAAUAAGAAAAAAAAAGGAAUGGCUACACUAUGGAUCUUUUGCUGUAACAGUCUCAUACACUCACUGUAUGUAGCUACUUUCCUGGGAUAAGCAGCAAGAUUGGGAUGGUCAACUGGUGUACAGGAGUGCUACAAAGCCUGCACAGUGAGCUUAUGGAUAGCAUCAUUCACUACAGCAAAGGUGAGUUAGUUUUGUUCUAUGUAAACUAUUCAAUAUUUUUAUAGCAAUAUUUUCUAAAGGGUAAGUUAUAGGUGGGUAUAUGUAAAACAUUCAGCAUUUAAUAGCAGUAUUCUCAGAAUUAUUAUUCACAGGCAUGUUAACAGCAUCUAUGUUGUUUAGUAAGUUAGGGAUAUAAGAGAUUCAUGCAUUGUAUAAAUAGUUUAAUGAUAUUAACACAAUACAUUAGUCUGUAUACAUUUCUAUCAUACAAUAUAACCCUUUCAUGAAUUAUUGAACACUUUCAGAUGUAACUUUGUUCUCCUAAGAUAUAAAGUCAAAUAUCUUCACAAGUAAGCAAACUAUGAUAUUACUUGCAGUCUGAAAACGGGAUAACUUAUUGAGUAUUGUAUAGAAGGGUUGAGCGUUGUUUGAAGCCCUCCCUGGAGCGUCAUGGUUACCAAAGAGAGAGACUAACACAGGGUUGCAAUUCAAUGCUGGUCUGCACCACUUGAUUACAAUACACCUUAAAUAUGCUCUGUUUUUUUGUAGUCAUGUGUUACAGACUAUGGAUUGGCAUCAUUUAGAACCUUGUAUUUGCCUCUUUUUAUGAAAUAAACAUAGAUGACAUGAAGGAAAUUAACUUUGUUCCAGGAAUAUUGCCCCAUAUGUAUGGCAGUACUCAAAGACAAGGAGAUCUUUAACAAUAGGAGUCAGGAUACUCCAUAAAGGAUCAAGGGGUGAGGGCUCAAGGUUUAAUACAACAACAAAAAAAAAGUGCAUAGGCUAUUACAGUAUUAUUUUAAUGAGAACAUUCAGGAUGUGUAUACGAUGAUAAAGUGGAGUAGUGGAAAGGUGAAAUAUGGUCACAGUUAGGGAUAGGUAGAAAAGUUAACAAACGUUAUAGGUACCUAAAUGAACCUCAAACAACGGCACAUUAUAGACAUACCCAGAAUUAGGUAUAUGGUAGAGUGAUUGUGAUUGAAAUGAACCUUGAUGGGACAGUAAUAAAGAUCUCUGAGCUUAUAAUCAUUAAAAGUAAUAUUUCUUUGACAUAAAAAGUUAGGAAAAGGCAGGGCAUUGAUUUGGAGAGUGCAAAUUAUUGCAAUGAUGAAACCGCAUAAAAAAAAAAAUUAGGAUUAUUUUUGGGAUGAAGCUUUUGUUAAGAAACUAUACAAAUUAAGUUCAGUCAGACUAUAAUUAUAGGCUGAAUUUAUAUACUUGUAAGUUUUGUACAAUUAUUCCUUGUUUUGCAUGGUCAAGGAAUACAUGGUUUUACACCAUGAGUUUUUCUUUCUUUUAACACAGUACAUCAAACACUGUUUCCUGUACCAAGUUUGGUGAAACCAGCAUUUACAAAAAUAAACCAUGCAUACUUUGAGCAUGCAAAAUGAGGGAGAGUACUGAUGAUUAACUCUGGAUUAGAUUUUACUGCCCAGUUCCCUCAAGAGUGUUUCCCUAAUGCCAAUGAGGGGCUCUUGAUCCAAGGAAUUGGACCUGACCUCUCCUUUCUUGGAUCAAACUGAUUGCAUCCCAUCCCUCCCAGGUGCUAUUGGACCCCAUGAAUGUAAUAAAAACUACCAGCAUAAAAAGUUAGAAAUUGCUCAGGGGUUAGAGAGGGAUUUUGUAUGAAAGUCUUAGUAAUACCAAAUUGAGGUAGGUAUGGGAUUGAAAAAAUAGGGUUAUGCAUAUACAUAAAUGUUUUCAUGGAAGCAUAGCUUUAAAAUAAUUAAGAAUAGUAAAAAAUGUACAAUACACUACUGCAAGAAUAAAAUUUAUGGGAGAAUAGUUCAGGUAGAGCUAAAUCUGUUCAAAAAAAAUAUUAAUGAUAAAUUAAUUUUAAAUAAAUAGUUUUAAAUAACUUACCAUAUAUUUUUAGAAUAAUACUGUUUGCAAAUAGCCUAGAUUUACCCAUGUUUUGAAAUAUCAGGAUUGACAUAAAUCCUAAAUCUCACCAUGAAGUGACCUCAAGAAAGAAUGGAUACAAAGAAUUGGACCAAAACAGCAUUACAAAUGAAGUUACAUUUGAGAGGUAUGGGUAUGGGUGAGGGCUGGAAUAGGGAGGUCGAGUGUCCUUACAGCAGCUCUUAACGAGAGGCUGUGGUGUCACAGUAAGUCUAGAGUGGCAGGUGGCCCCGAGCUAUGCUAUUCGAUGUUUCUACCAUAUGAAAUUGAGCCAUUUUGAAGGACAUUUGCGGUAUGGUACAGUAUUUCCAGGAGCUCUACACAUAAUGAUUGUACGUGCCUCUACAGGAGGGUGGCCAUCUGCCAGUCUGUUUUAGAAUCUUCAGAAAAUGAGUGUCAAAAGGACACUCACUAAUUAGAAUGUACUUAGACAAUGUCCAAACAACACUAAAAGAAAUGUACACCAUUGUUACCAAGACAUGUAACAAGUGAAAAUCAACAACAGCAUCUCUACUUAAUUGAUAUUUUCUGGCAACCACUCUUAGAUUGAGUGGGAUUUCUGCUGCCUAUUGACCACAUGGCUGGCAGGUAAAGGUCCUGAUGCCACAUAGGGUAAGCCGAGGUCAGCGGUAGUGUGGCCAGAGGAUGGGAAGCCACAGACAGUAAAGCAAAACACAAAGCGCAUUGGGUCAACAUGUUGCCUGU